UUCAGUUCAAAAUGCAAAAUCAGUGUUGGUAAAAGAGAAAUUAUAUCAAAUAACAUUCACUACAAUGAUAAAUAUCUGAUGGAAUUAUAAUAGACAUCCUUAAGCAUUCAUUUCAUCAUCUAAGUCUCAUUUGAUUCUGGAUAAAGUAGUUUCAGGUAAGCAUAUAAUGUUUUGUUAACAUGUUUAAUCAAUCUUAAAAAACAUGUUUUCAAUGUUUUCAAUAUCUUUAGAUCUCAGACCACGCGGCGUUUUGCGAGGGCAUUGAGACACCAACGCAUCGUAUUUGUCAUUCAAUUUGUGAUUUGUGACUGUAACAUUUUAGUUAGUCUUCCUAAUAAUUAUGUUGGGUCAGCUGUUGUAUAAAACUUAUAUAAAAUCUAUAGAAUAAAAAAAAUGUACAAUGCUACAUAUAAACCGUAAAUGAACGGUAGUUGAAAUUCUGCAUUUGUAAUAAUGCUUUCACAACAAAUAGCUAUAUGUGAUAUAUAAUGUUAUAAACGUUUAAAACAAUUAUAUGUUUUAAAAAAUGCGAUUAUAUCAUGUACAUGUAUAUCAAAAGAUCUAUGUCAUUUAUUUCGAAGUUCAUAAUUUCGUUUUUAAAUUUGUUUUUGUAUUAUCAUAUAAUCAUUUGUGUAAAAUUCUGAAUCAUUUGUGUAAUCCGUGAUCAUCUUGCUAAAUUUGAAUCGUUAUGCUUUUAAUAAGAAUGACCAAGAUGGAACACGAUAUGUUUUAUUAGUGCAUACAACACAUAUACCUGGGUUGAGUAUAUAUGUUAUUUUACCUGUGUCAUUUAAAUUUUUAAAGUGGAUAUUCCCAUUUAUCAAAAAAUCAAAAUAAACUUUUCUAUUAUUAUGGUUUCAAUUACAAUACAUAUACAUAAAAAUCGAUACAAUUCUUUAAGUCGACUCAAUGAAGAGAUCACAGUUCCAUGCGUAUUUAGUUAUAAGGAUAAGAGUUUAUUUAUACUAUCGUAAAUGGUAGUAUCUUGAAUGUGUAUUUUAAACCUUGUUGUUGGUCAUACAAGGCCAACAUUUGAAAUGUAUAUAGCGUCUAUUGACAAUCCUUCUAGGUCAUUUUUACAUACAUUUGCUUUUCGCAAAUGGUUUCCAAUCGACUGUUUACAGUUCAUGAUACAUGGGUUGUUUCAGGUUCUAGAAAAGGCAUUUUAUUUGGUGGAUCUCUUUAUCGAUUCCAAUCCCUAAAAGAGAGCUCCUACCUCUAUCCUCUACUUCUGCAGUUAUAUAUUGAUUCGUGCGUUAAUAUCUGAUCGUAUAUUUUAAGCAGAAUAGAAAUACCAGGAACCAGAUUUUCAAAUUGCCUUAAAACCACACGCAUAAAAAAUAUUUAUCGAUGACCGUGCAUAAACAUCACACUGUACUUGUCCUUUUUAUUGAUUUGCACAAAAGAAAACAACUAAACC
rnacentral:lncRNA from 1 species